UACGUAGGUGGCAAGCGUUAUCCGGAUUUAUUGGGCGUAAAGCGAGCGCAGGCGGUUGCUUAGGUCUGAUGUGAAAGCCUUCGGCUUAACCGAAGAAGUGCGAUCGGAAACCGGGCGACUUGAGUGCAGAAGAGGACAGUGGAACUCCAUGUGUAGCGGUGGAAUGCGUAGAUAUAUGGAAGAACACCAGUGGCGAAGGCGACUG
rnacentral:rRNA from 1 species